rnacentral:rRNA from 1 species
GACGAACGCUGGCGGCGUGCUUAACACAUGCAAGUCGAGCGGAAAGGCCCUUCGGGGUACUCGAGCGGCGAACGGGUGAGUAACACGUGAGUAACCUGCCCCAGACUUUGGGAUAACCCUCGGAAACGGGGGCUAAUACCGGAUACGACACAGCUUCGCAUGGGGUCUGUGUGGAAAGUUUUUCGGUUUGGGAUGGGCUCGCGGCCUAUCAGCUUGUUGGUGGGGUGAUGGCCUACCAAGGCGACGACGGGUAGCCGGCCUGAGAGGGCGACCGGCCACACUGGGACUGAGACACGGCCCAGACUCCUACGGGAGGCAGCAGUGGGGAAUAUUGCACAAUGGGCGGAAGCCUGAUGCAGCGACGCCGCGUGAGGGAUGGCGGCCUUCGGGUUGUAAACCUCUUUCAGCAGGGACGAAGCGUAAGUGACGGUACCUGCAGAAGAAGCGCCGGCCAACUACGUG